GACGAACGCUGGCGGCGUGCUUAACACAUGCAAGUCGAACGGUAAGGCCCCUUCGGGGGUACACGAGUGGCGAACGGGUGAGUAACACGUGAGCAACCUGCCCUUGACUCUGGAAUAACAGUUUGAAACAGCUGCUAAUACUGGAUAUUCAUCGUCUCCUUCCUGGGGGGUGGUGGAAAGCUCCGGCGGUCAGGGAUGGGCUCGCGGCCUAUCAGCUUGUUGGUGAGGUAAUGGCUCACCAAGGCUUCGACGGGUAGCCGGCCUGAGAGGGCGACCGGCCACACUGGGACUGAGAUACGGCCCAGACUCCUACGGGAGGCAGCAGUGGGGAAUAUUGCACAAUGGGCGCAAGCCUGAUGCAGCAACGCCGCGUGCGGGAUGACGGCCUUCGGGUUGUAAACCGCUUUCAGUAGGGACGAAGGGUGACUGACGGUACCUACAGAAGAAGGACCGGCUAACUACGUG
rnacentral:rRNA from 1 species